rnacentral:rRNA from 1 species
AGCUCAAAAUGGGUGGUAAAUUUCAUCUAAAGCUAAAUAUUGGCGGGAGACCGAUAGCGCACAAGUAGAGUGAUCGAAAGAUGAAAAGCACUUUGAAAAUAGAGUUAAAAAGUACGUGAAAUUGUUGAAAGGGAAGCGCUUGAGACCAGACUCGGCCGGAGACGAUCAGCGGUCCUUUUGGGCCGUGCACUCGUCCUCGGUUGGGCCAGCAUCGGUUGAGACGGUGGGAUAAAGGUCUGGGGAAUGUGGCUCCUUUCGGGGAGUGUUAUAGCCCCGGGCGCAAUGCCGCCAGCCUCGACCGAGGACCGCGCUCUUUUGCUAGGAUGCUGGCGUAAUGGUCUUCAGCGACCCGUCUUGAAACACGGACCAAGGAGUCUAACAUCUAUGCGAGUGUUUGGGUGUCAAACCCUUGCGCGUAAUGAAAGUGAACGUGGGUGGGAACCUCUCGUAAGGGGGGCGCACCAUCGACCGAUCCUGAUGUCUUCGGAUGGAUUUGAGUAGGAGCAUAGCUGUUGGGACCCGAAAGAUGGUGAACUAUGCCUGAAUAGGGUGAAGCCAGAGGAAACUCUGGUGGAGGCUCGCAGCGGUUCUGACGUGCAAAUCGAUCGUCAAAUUUGGGUAUAGGGGCG